UACGAAGGGGGCUAGCGUUGUUCGGAAUUACUGGGCGUAAAGCGCACGUAGGCGGAUACUUAAGUUAGGGGUGAAAUCCCGGGGCUCAACCCCGGAACUGCUUUUGAUACUGGGUAUCUGGAGUCCGAGAGAGGUGAGUGGAAUUCCGAGUGUAGAGGUGAAAUUCGUAGAUAUUCGGAGGAACACCAGUGGCGAAGGCGGCUCACUGGCUCGGUACUGACGCUGAGGUGCGAAAGCGUGGGAGCAACAGGG
rnacentral:rRNA from 1 species